rnacentral:tRNA from 1 species
GAGGGUAUAGCUCAGUGGUAGAGCACAUGCUUAGCAUGCACAAGGUCCUGGAUUCAAUCCCCAGUACCUCCA